rnacentral:lncRNA from 1 species
GGCGGGCGGUCUCCAGCCGCCCAGUCGCAUGGUCGGUCACCGGCGGGCGGGCGGUCUCCAGCCGCCCAAUCGCGCAGGCAGCGGGUGGGUGAUCGGUCGCCGGCGGACGGGCGAUCUCUAGCCGCCAAGUCACGCGGUUGGUCGCCAGCGGGCAGGCGGUCUCCAGCCGCCCAGUCGCGAGGGCCUGGCCUCUAGUCCCCUGGUUUCUCCUGCUAGUCCCCUGGUUUCUCCUGCUAGACCAGAUUUCCCCUGAGUGAUGCCUCUUGGCAGUUCAAACUGUACUCUGGGCCUGCCGUUUGUUGGGUGUGGAGGGUGUCUAUUGGGAACCCCAGCACUCUAUUGUUUUGAUUUUUUCCGCUUGCCCCUCCCCUAGCGCUGGCUAGGCAGGUUUCGUUUUCGCCGCUAACGGGAGGGGGAGUUGAAGGUCAGGUGUCUCUAGUUUUCCCCGCGUCUUUAUGCAGGCUUGCUCUGAUAAUCCCACCCCCGGAAAGCCUAGGAAAGAUUUUAUGCGAAUUCCCCGCUGUAUGGGAGCUGAGCUGAGUAACACACACCUGUUUUAUUGUUGCAAUCUGUCGGAGAGUGGUGGUGGUUACUUCAGCUCUCCAAGAUGGUGGCUGCUGGUUUUCUAAAUAUUUUUUCUUGAGCUCUUUUAAAGCAUAUCAUAAUUGGGGUUUUAUUGUAAAAUGUACAUAAAAUAAAAACCAACAGUGAAUGCUGUCUCAUAGAAAGCAUAAAAGGGGAACAGGAAAAAAAGAGAAUUUUAUCACUGUGUUGUGCUCUAGAGGCUGUAGGAAGGCUCUGGCAGAGGUGGGAGUAACUGUAGGCCAUGUCUUCAUUCCCAACAGUUCAGGAUUCAAAUGUGACAUUCAGUUUUGAAACACUGUGCUAAUAUCUCCCUGCUAUACUUACUAAAGCAACUUGGGUUCCAGCAAAAGCACUGUGAUCAUUCAAGCUGGGGCUCUGGGUACUUGCUUCUUCUUGCUGUUUUUUCUGAAUGAGGAAGACCCAUCGUGGAUAUUUGUUUGGGUAUUCCUCCUGAAAUUUGGUCACUACUGAGAAGGUUUUGGUGGAGUUUUGAAAAAGAUACUUACCAGCUCUAAGAACUAUGAAAUGGACAUCUAAUUACUUCAUGAACAGACUCAUGAACACCACUUUAAAUCUCAGGUUUCACUUUGGAAGUUUGGAUUUUCAGUCCAAGGAAGGUAUUGGACUGACUCAGAGGAAACCCACA